rnacentral:rRNA from 1 species
UACGGAGGGUGCAAACGUUGCUCGGAAUCAUUGGGCGUAAAGCGCACGUAGGCGGUUCGUUAAGUCGGAUGUGAAAGCCCCAGGCUCAACUUGGGAAGUGCAUUCGAAACUGGCGAGCUUGAAUAUGGAAGAGGGUCGCGGAAUUCCCGGUGUAGAGGUGAAAUUCGUAGAUAUCGGGAGGAACACCAGUGGCGAAGGCGGCGACCUGGGCCAAUAUUGACGCUGAGGUGCGAAAGCGUGGGGAGCAAACAGG